AUUGAACGCUAGCGGCAGGCUUAACACAUGCAAGUCGAGGGGUAGAAGGAGCUUGCUCCUUUGAGACCGGCGCACGGGUGCGUAACGCGUAUGCAAUCUACCUUUGCAGAGGGAUAGCCCAGAGAAAUUUGGAUUAAUACCUCAUAGUAUGUGAGGAUGGCAUCAUUUCACAUUAAAGUCACAACGGCAAAAGAUGAGCAUGCGUCCCAUUAGCUAGUUGGUAAGGUAACGGCUUACCAAGGCUACGAUGGGUAGGGGUCCUGAGAGGGAGAUCCCCCACACUGGUACUGAGACACGGACCAGACUCCUACGGGAGGCAGCAGUGAGGAAUAUUGGACAAUGGGCGCAAGCCUGAUCCAGCCAUGCCGCGUGCAGGAUGACGGUCCUAUGGAUUGUAAACUGCUUUUGUACGGGAAGAAACACUACUUCGUGAAGUAGCUUGACGGUACUGUAAGAAUAAGGAUCGGCUAACUCCGUG
rnacentral:rRNA from 1 species